AUGGGGUCUGCCACCAUCCUCACCCUCCUCAUCGCUGGUGUCUGUGCCCAGGGGCAGCUGGUGCAGCCUGGGGCAGAGGUGAAGAGGCCCGGGGAGUCUCUGACGAUCUCCUGUAAGAGGUCUGGAAAUGCAAAUUGGAUCAGCUGGGUGCUUCAAAAGUCCGGGAAGGACCUGGAGUGGAUGGGCAAUAUUGACCUUAGCGAUUCAGAAACCCACUACGGCCCGUCCUUCCAAGGCCAAGUCACCAUCUCUGCAGACAAAUCCAUCAGCACCGCCUUCCUGCAGUGGAGCAGCCUGAAGGUCUCGGACACAGCCGUGUAUUACUGUGCGGCAGACACAGUGAGAGAAACCACAUCCUGA